rnacentral:lncRNA from 1 species
AUGUGUCCCCAACGUGUCCCCAGCNUGGGGACACGUGGCCAGGUUGGUGACACUGUGCGUCCCGCAGCUGGUGGCCGUGCACUCGGUGGUGUUCAGCACGCAGGCGGAGGACGCGGACGGGGACACGCUGAUGUACGUCAUCGACGCCAGCUCGGUGCGUGCCGGGGACAGGAGAGGGGACAUCGGGGGGGGGGACACACGGCGUGGCCAGGGGGGACAAACACACGGUGUCACCGAGCUGUCCCCAACGUGUCCCCAGCCGGACGCGCGCUUCUUCCGCAUCGACCUGCCGAACAGCGGGCGCGUGGUGCUGGCGCGGCCCCUGGACUUCGAGAGCCGCCAGAGCCUGGAGGUGGUGGUGACGGCCGUGGUGAGGUCCCCAACGUGUCCCCAACGUGGUCUCAAUGUGUCCCCAACGUGUCCCCAGCGUGUCCCCAACGUGUCCCCAGCAUGGUCUCAAUGUGUCCCCAGCGUGUCCCCAAUGUGACCUCAGUGUGGCCCCAGAGUGUCCCCUGCGUGUCCCCAGUGUGGCCCCAAUGUCACUUCAAAAUGGUUCCAACGUGUCCCCAGUGUGUCCCCAGUGUGUCCCCAACGUGUCCCCAGUGUGUCCCCAACGUGUCUCCAAUAUGUCCCCAACGUGUCCCCAGUGUGGCCCCAACGUGUCCCCAGUGUGUCCCCAAUGUGUCUCCAACAUGUCUCCAGCAUGUCCCCAGUGUGUCCUCAGUGUGUCCCCAACAUGGUCUCAGUGUGUCCCCAGUGUGUCCCCAGCAUGUCCCCAGUGUGUCCCCAACAUGGUCUCAAUGUGUCCCCAGCGUGUCCCCAGCAUGGUCUCAACGUGUCCCCAACGUGUCCCCAGCGUGUCCCCAACGUGUCCCCAGCAUGGUCUCAAUGUGUCCCCAACGUGUCUCCAGUGUGUCCCCAGGGAGUCCCCAGCGUGUCCCCAACAUGUCCCCAUUGUGUCCCCAGUGCGUCCCUAGCAUGUCCCCAACGUGGCCUCAAUGUGUCCCCAACGUGUCCCCAACAUGGCCUCAGUGUGUCCCCAACGUAGUCUCAAUGUGUCCCCAACGUGUCCCCAGAAUGUCCCCAACGUGGCCUCACUGGGUCCCCAGUGUGUCCCCAAAGUGUCCCCAAUGUGACCUCAACAUGCUCCAAGGGUGUCCCCAACGUGUCCCCAAUGUGGCCUCAAUGUGUCCCCAAUGUGGCCCCAACAUAUCCCAAACGUGGCCUCAAUGUGUCCCCAACGUGGCCCCAACAUGA